UACGUAGGGUGCGAGCGUUAAUCGGAAUUACUGGGCGUAAAGCGUGCGCAGGCGGUUCGUUGUGUCCGAUGUGAAAGCCCCGGGCUUAACCUGGGAAUGGCAUUGGAAACUGGCGGGCUUGAGUGCGGCAGAGGGGGGUGGAAUUCCGCGUGUAGCAGUGAAAUGCGUAGAGAUGCGGAGGAACACCGAUGGCGAAGGCAGCCCCCUGGGUCGACACUGACGCUCAGGCACGAAGGCCAGGGGAGCAAACGGG
rnacentral:rRNA from 1 species